rnacentral:ncRNA from 1 species
GAUAAACCGAUGAGCAAGAGAAGUAGGUUUAGGAACGUAUUACAGAGAGCCGCUGGUUGCUGGGAAGGCGGUAUACAGGAAUUUACUGAAUGGACUUGCGAGGGCGGCCUGAAACCGAAAGGGAGUAGACGUCGCCGGGAACCCUCCCGUUACCAGUAGGGUGCGCAUGAUGGUGCGUAAAACGAGUGGGUAAUUUAUUUUACCAAUUUGGGUGGUAUCGCAGAAGCUACAGGCUUUUGUCCCUUGA